GAUGAACGCUGGCGGCGUGCCUAAUACAUGCAAGUCGAGCGAACGGACGAGAAGCUUGCUUCUCUGAUGUUAGCGGCGGACGGGUGAGUAACACGUGGAUAACCUACCUAUAAGACUGGGAUAACUUCGGGAAACCGGAGCUAAUACCGGAUAAUAUUUUGAACCGCAUGGUUCAAAAGUGAAAGACGGUCUUGCUGUCACUUAUAGAUGGAUCCGCGCUGCAUUAUCUAGUUGGUAAGGUAACGGCUUACCAAGGCAACGAUGCAUAGCCGACCUGAGAGGGGGAUCGGCCACACUGGAACUGAGACACGGUCCAGACUCCUACGGGAGGCAGAAGUAGGGAAGCUUCCGAACUGGGCGAAAGCCUGACGGAGCAACGCAGCGUGAGUGAUGAAGGUCUUCGGAUCGUAAAACUCUGUUAUUAGGGAAGAACAUAUGUGUAAGUAACUGUGCACAUCUGGACGGUACCUAAUCAGAAAGCCACGGCUAACUACGG
rnacentral:rRNA from 1 species